rnacentral:lncRNA from 1 species
CCCAAUAUUGCUAUAGAGCAUUUUAGGUUCUCCAGGAAUAUAAAUGGCCUCUGGGCAACAAGGCUUUUGUCCCUUGACAGAAACGAAAACAGGCCUGAAAGCUUCGGUGCUAAAAGAGAGAGAUCCAGAACGUCACCCAAAUGGGAUGGGCCUCUGGCCUGGGCAGGAGCGCUCGGGACCCCACCGCAGGAGAGACGCUGUGCUACCCCCAGCCCCACACAGCUCCCAAGAUUCGCCACUCCUCGCCAAGGCCUCGUAUUUGAGGACCCGGAUUCUCUCGACAUCUGCCUAAAGCUGCGGUCAACGGCCUACCGCCACGUUCAUUUCCAUUACACCCUACUCUUGCCCAAGGCCUCCCGCCUGUGAAAUUGAAAGAAAUUCUUAACUCCUUAUUUAAGUCCCUCCUUUUCCUGCUCGCAUUAUUUCCUACUUCAGAGAAAAUCAGAUAGCUACGAUGAGGAAGUGCCUACAUUUUCCUGAAAAAAAAAAAAUAAUAAUAAUAACAAUGAUAAUAGUAAGUGCAACGAAAUGAAACUUGACUCAUAGGGAACUACGUUACUUAUAAAUAAGAAGGAAGAAGUAAUUACUGGUAGUGCUAGGAAACAAAAUUAGGUGGGAAAUGGGAGGCAGAUUCCCAUUAAACAGACUGCCCCAUAUUCGAGUGGGGACGGGCUAUUCUUCCUUAACCCUUAAAAGUAAUCACCUAUAAUAAAUUAUUUUCAAACUGUAAACUGCUUUCA